rnacentral:rRNA from 1 species
GAUGAACGCUGGCGGCGUGCUUAACACAUGCAAGUCGAACGGAAAGGCCCAAGCUUUCUUGGAUACUCGAGUGGCGAACGGGUGAGUAACACGUGGGUGAUCUGCCCUUCACUUCGGGAUAAGCCUUGGAAACUGGGUCUAAUACCGGAUAGGACGUUGUUUUGGAUGCCAUUGUGGAAAGUUUUUUCGGUGUGGGAUGAGCUCGCGGCGUAUCAGCUUGUUGGUGGGGUAAUGGCCUACCAAGGCGUAGACGGGUAGCCGGCCUGAGAGGGUGUACGGCCACAUUGGGACUGAGAUACGGCCCAGAGUACGACGGGAGGCAGCAGGGGGGAAUGUUGCACAAUGCGAGGAAGCCUGAUGCAGCGACGCCGUGUGGGCGAUGACGGCCUUCGUGUUGUAAAAUCAUUUCGCUAGGGACGAAGCGUUUUUGUGACGGUACCUGGAGAAGAAGCAACGGCUAACUACGUG